rnacentral:sRNA from 1 species
ACGGGGAAGGAUGAGAAGCUUCGACCAAGGUUCGACUCGAGCGAAGCGAGAGAACGUUGCCGCAGGCAACGGCCCGAAGGGCGAGGCGCUUUAGCGCCGAGUAAUCCUUCCCCCACCACCA